ensembl:lncRNA
GGGUGACCCUGUGACCUUAACCAGGACGUGGGAAACCAUUUCACAAGUUUCCUUGAAUCAUUUAGGGAACAUUUCAAGCAGGGAUGGGAAUCCCAGCUCUUUACGAUUACAGUUAGCGAUGCAGCAUGAGAGAAUCGCGUGUGAUUUUAAGCUAACAUUUAUAUGAUGUAUAAUGUCAGGAAGUGCUGACGGUUUACAACGCGAGGAUGUAGUCACGUCCCCGGAAAUCGGCGAGUCAUCGGUGUAACGAUGUGCAGUGAGACCGUGUCCUUACUGCCGCUCGAACCCGUGUACACGAUGUACUGAUUCACCACCCAGGGAGCUGAUUGAGACGCACUCAUGGUUACAGAGUCAGGGCUUUGUUUUUAUGCUAAUGAAACAUUAUUACACAGCCCUGUGUUUAUUGCUCUAUUUUGCCCCCUAGUGGAAUAAAAGAGACAAGCUCGGACGUUUCACAGCUCUGCUCUAAAACAUGCUGGGAAUAGGGUUGGUGAGAAAUGUUCCACAUACGUCACACUGCCAGUUAAACGUUUUUGAGCACCCUGUAUUAACAUUUUUAGUUAAACGUAGCAUACAAUCAGAAAACCUAAGUAAGAAAUGUGACCUUUUAUUUUCUUAUUCGGAAACGAAAUCUAGAUUUAUCCGGAAAAGGCUGAUCCGGAGACGCUCAUAGCACAAGACACGUUCGCGUUACGGUCGAUUAGGGCCGCAGCCACGGGACCGGAGAGCGGACACGAUUCCGACAGUCCUAUGGUUCGAUACUGUCUAAUAUCAGCCGUAAGACUUCAUUUCAGUUCAAUUUGAUUUGUAUAGCAGCUUUACAGAAACAUAUCAACACAGGAUAGAGAUUUAAAGUGUGUGAAUUUAUCCUUAUUGAGCGAGACGGUGGUGAGGAAAAAUUCCCUAAGAUGUUAAGAGGAAGAAACCUUGAGAGGAACCAGACUCGGAAGGGAACCCGUCCUCAUCUGGGUAACGACGGAGAGCGUGAAAGUAAAAGAAAGUUCAUUACGGUUCGUACAUGAAGUCUGUGUGUUGAACUAGUCCACUGUUCAACGGAGACAAAUCUCAACUUGUCUGAGCGUGGACAAUGACAGUCCUUAAAGACAGAUUUAAAUACAAAAGGAAACUACAUCUCUCUUAUUUAAUAGCCAAUAGCCAAUAGCCAAACCUUCACAUGUUUUAAAAAAAAAAACCCAUUUGACUGGCAGCGUACAUCGUACUCGGUCU